rnacentral:snoRNA from 1 species
AAGACUACACUCACAAGGAUCAUUUCUACAGUUUGUUACUAAAGAACUUUUCUUGCACAUGUAGAGCACUGAUAAUAAACCAAUGAUCUAGUAAGUUAGAAAAAAUGGU